rnacentral:tRNA from 1 species
AGAGAUAUAGUAUAGUAUUUACAUCUCAGUUACAUUGAGAAGGUCCAAAAAUUUGGUGUCUCUA